CUGCAAGGAUGGAUCUAACAUGCAGACCACUUCUCUAUCAUCGACAACUCCCUCCCUCAUGCUUCUCUCUCCCACGACUCUUCACCUAUUCCGCCAUCGUUAAACUACCUUGGGCUAUGACUACUUGGGCUUCAGAAUUGGGUUCUUAUAACUAUGUGUGUUCUCUAGUAUUGAGCUACGCCCUGAACUUAAGCAUUGUGCUUGUAAACUUUUAUUUCCUUUUGCAUUUUAAUAUAAAAAAGCCUCAGUUACAAAAAAAAAUAAAAUAAAAAUAAGACCACGUCUUCUUCAUUCUUAUUAUUGUCUUGACAUACAAGAUCAAGCUCAUCUUUGAUCCUGUUGUAAAUCGUGGUUCGAUGUCUCCGUCUUCGAUGUACAGCUAAAGCUUGUUCAAUCGUGGUUGGGUAGACUGUUAAAAAGAAGAAGCUAAAGUCAGGUUUAUACAAAAUUCGUUUAUACACAAUUCUAAGACUAAAUUAUAAAAAACAAAACAGUUUUGAACUAUUUCAUAAAAAUGUCAAGUUUUUUUCAAGAUGAUUAAUCUGUGUUAGUGAAAAAUGAAUUGUGAUCAAAUGGUUAGCUACUCGGUAGUAUUUUAUCCGUUGACGACAAUUUGUAGGCACGUCCGUGGAAAGUAAGUGAGUAGUGGCGAACCUUAAGCACGAAAAUACUAUUUGUAUCAAUUUAUUUUCAUUUUAAAUCCAGCAAAAUUUUAGAUAUUAGAAAAAGAGAUGUAUUUUUCGUCUUUGUUUUUGACUAGUAAUUUCACGUGUCAUCAUAGAUUUCAACUUAAUUUGUCUAAAAAAAAUUAAUAUAUAUCUACGAAAAAUUAACUCUUUUCACAAAAUAUAUUUCAUGAUUUUAUUAUGUUCACUAUAGAUUAACAAAUGGUAGGAAAUUAGGAAAGAAAUACUGGAUAUACUGAAUUCAUUUAAGAAAGUCAGGGGUUGAUUCAGGAAUCUAACCUAAAGUUUGGGGUCAUUUCGAGCUUGUAAAGUUACUUGGGCAAUCAAGUUACAAGAAAAAAAAGAGUUACUUGUUUACCAAAAAAAAAAAAAAGUUACUUGGGCAAUAUCCACUAAAAAAUCAUCAUUUUCUAAAUUAAUUUUGAAUUUAUAAAAGGAAGACAGUGGUGCAGGAGAAGACUUUCAAACAUGCUCGCGCGAACUCUAUUCUCAAGUCAACCAUAAAAAAAAACCUUUUCUAAUAAUACCCUCUCCGGCCACGAAUAAGACGAAAGGAGGUUAAAUGGCGAAGAAGCUCAAAGUCAACGAACUCCGUGCAAAGCUCGCCGAGCGUGGACUUGUUACCACCGGACUCAAACCCGUUCUGGUGGAGAGGCUUGAAGAGGCUAUCGCACAAGACGCAAAGAAGGUAAAAUCGAAGAGCAGGAGGAAAAGAAACAGAGACUCUUCGGAUAGUACUCAUGACUCGAACAAGUUGAUUGCAAUCGGCGAGUUUCGUGCGAUGAAUGUGAAGGAGUUGCGGAAGGAAGCUAGUAAGAGAGGCUUAGCUACAACGGGUACCAAGAAGGAAGUUCUCGGGAGGCUCUGCAAUGAUGAAGCUCAAGAUGACAAGAAUUGUCUCCAAGAAGAGAAAUCAACAAAGAAGGGAGCAGCGGUAUUGGAUCAAUGGAUUCCUGAUCACGUAAAGAGCGAGUACCAUGUUCUACAAAGGGGUGAUGAUGUUUAUGAUGCCAUGUUGAACCAGACAAAUGUCAGGGAUAAUAAUAACAAAUUCUUUGUCCUACAAGUGCUAGAGUCUGAUAACAAGAAAACAUAUAUGGUCCACUUCAGAUGGGGAAGAGUUGGUGUGAAAGGACAGAGUAAACUAGAUGGACCUUAUGACUCAUGUGAUCCUGCAAUAGAAAUAUUCAGCAACAAGUUCUAUGACAAGACAAGGAAUCAUUGGUCUGACAGAAAGGAGUUUUUCCUUCAUCCCAAGUCCUAUGCAUGGCUUGAAGUGGACUAUGGCAAAGAAGAAAAUGAUUCAGUUGUAAAUGAUAUUCCCAAAUCAUCUUCUAAAGUUACACGUGAUGAAUCAAAACUAGAUCCCCAGGUUGCCAAGUUCAUAUCUCUUAUAUGCAGUGUAAGCAUGAUGGCACAGCAAAUGAUGGAACUAGGAUACAACGCUAAAGAAUUACCACUUGGGAAGCUAAGCAAGUCCACAAUAUCAAAGGGUUAUGAAGUGUUGCAGAGAAUAUCGGAGAUGAUUGAGCGGUAUGAUAGAGCAAGGCUUGAGGAACUGAGUGGAGAGUUCUAUACUGUGAUACCCCAUGAUUUUGGUUUCAAGAAAAUGUGUCAAUUUGUUAUAGACACUCCCCAAAAGUUGAAACAGAAAAUAGAAAUGGUUGAAGCAUUAGGUGAAAUCGAAUUCGCGACGAAGUUGUUGUCCAUCGAUCAGGGAUUGCAAGAUGAUCCUUUAUAUUAUCACUACCAGCAACUUAACUGUGAAUUGACACCAGUAGGAGCUGAUUCAGAAGAGUUUUCUAUGGUUGCCAAAUACAUGGAGAACACUCAUGCAAAAGCGGAUUCCGGAUACACAGUUGAAAUGAUUCAACUGUUUAGAGCUUCGAGAGCUGUUGAAGCUGAUAGAUUCCAACAAUUUUCGAGUUCGAAGAACAGGAUGCUACUGUGGCAUGGAUCACGUCUUACUAACUGGGUUGGUAUUUUAUCUCAAGGUUCGGAAAAGGGGUUUACUUUGCCGAUAUGUUCUCCAAGAGUGUGAACUACUGCUAUGCUAACAGUGGUUCCAAUGACGGCGUUCUGCUCCUCUGCGAGGUUGCUUUGGGAGACGUGAAUGAGCUUAUAUAUCCGGAUUAUGAGGCGGAUAAUUUGCCCACGGGGAAGCUAAGCACAAAAGGUGUGGGGAAAACAGCACCAAACGGUUCAGAGGCUAAGACACUAGAAGAGGGUGUUGUUGUCCCACUUGGCAAACCAGAGGAUCAUUCAAGCACCAUG